GUGCUCACAUCGGCAGCACUCAGAGUAAAACGUGAACAAUACAGAGAAGAUUAGCAUGGGCCCUACACAAGGAUGACACGAAAAGUCGUGAAGCAUUUCCUU
ensembl:snRNA LOC120099047 U6 spliceosomal RNA